ACGAUUCAGGCGUUAUCUCGGGACUCCUGCUGGGCACCAGACAACCCGAUCUCCUGCCUACUGGAGCAAAAUGAAAGAGUUUAUUCUGAAGUCUCUCAAGCACAGCUGCUCCAGGCCGUGAACAAGAAAGUGUGGACUUCAGCCUGUGGGAAUGGUCUUGAAACACAAGCGGGCGUGGGUCUCUAGGCAUUUUCCAGUGACUUUCUCUACUGCCACCAUUACUACUCAAGCAAAAUCUGAGUGGAAAGAUCUGCUGGGAGAGAACUGACUGCUUAUGUUUCUCCAUUGUGAUGAAAGCACAUGGUACAGUUUUCCAAAGAAGUUAGUCCUUUUCCGCGGUGACAAGAAACCAGGCCGCCGUUUUCAUAGGGUAUCCCUCACUCCUCUGGAAGGAAGAAAGAGCACGCCUGAGCCCGGAGCACUCCAGCGCCUGUGGGACGUCUCCAUGGUGAAGGAUAAGCCAAGGCUACCUGGGAGCAGCGCACGGUGAAUGGUAUGUGUCCAAGAUCUCUCCAGACCUGCCUUUUUCACCCAGUCCCCAAAUCUGAUGCACAGAGGAAAAUCAUUGGGCUCCAAACCCACCACCUGUUUGUUGUAUCGAUGCUGUGGAUGAAGCUGGAUGCUGCAUAGCGAAAGGCCCUUGCACAUCUUCAGAGCGGAAUGUGAUUGUUGUAUGUUACUCUGAACCGAGAGGUGAGGACUUAGCUCUGUAGCACCUCAGAAAAUAUCCAGAGAGUUUUAAAACAUUAUUUUUGAGAGAUUGGAAUACAUGGAAACCCAGAAGGUUUGAAUGUCGGCCCAGACGUUGGCAGACUUCCAUUCAGAUUCCGUUGUGAGUAAAAUGUGUACUCAGCAACUAGGUUCAAGCCCUUAGUAGUUUGUAAGCACAUCUCUCGGCUUUUUCUAGAUCGUUGCAGAAAAAAAUAGGUUAAGCAAAUUUUGUGGUGGUGCUUAUGCACGCACAGACAUGCAUGAAGCUUCUGCAUCUUCCAAACUUGGAAAGCAUAUUUUAACAGCACAAGUAUAUCUGUGCGUUUGAUCUACAUCAGAGCCUCUUUUUUCUUCUC